rnacentral:lncRNA from 1 species
CUCUCUCCCCGAGCGGCCGCCAGGAUGUGCCCCCGGCCCCGUCGUCGCCGCGCCCGCGCCCCUCGCCCCAGUACGUCUUUUUUCGUUUCCUAAAUUUCUUAUUUUUGUCCUUGCAAGUGGUCCUGUCUGGUGUGAACCGUCAGCACAGAUGGCCUCCUGGAGCUUCCCCGAGUCGUUCGCUGGGGGAAGCGGGCGGUGAGCGGCCAGCCCGGGCGCUCCGCAGGCCGCGAGCUCCCGGCAGGGCUGGUGGCGGGGGUCCGCCUGGGGGAGGAAUCCCCGCCUGCUCCAUCGGACCCGGCCUGGCGCGGCUCGCGGCGCUCGGCGGGCUCCCUUCCAUUCUAGAAUCUUCCCGCUUGCUUCCCAGCCCGCGUUCUUCCGCCUGCCUUUAAUUGUGUGUGGACGUGGGGAGGAUCUUCUAAGUCCCUCCAACGAAGGCAAGUGUGAGACUCUGGCCCUUUAUUUGUAAGAAGCAAGCCUUCAGAUUGCAGAAGUGUCGCGCGGGUCGCCGUGCGUUGCGCGAGUGGGAAGAUGGAGGAGGCCGGCACGCUGCUUUCGUGGACGCAAGUGAACCGGGCGUGAAGGCAGGGUGCGAGCUCUGCCCUUGGCCCAGCCCUGCGUGGGCGCCGUCCCAGAUUCCGGGCGGUGCGGGGUGCAGAGAUCUGGAGAGACUUGCGGGCUCCCCAGCGCAGGCUGCUCUGGGAUUUCGUUGGAAGAUCCGGCAGAGCCUUGGAGGAGAGGGCCCGGGAGGCUGUGUGUGCAGCGGAAACUUGUACGAAUGCCCCCACAGCGGAAAUGGUGCGCACGAGUAAUUUCUGCGGUGCACCCUUUUAAAAAUUGACAAGUGAACAAGAUCAAUUUUUUAAGAAAGCAAAGGUAGAAAACAAAAGGCGUGCGACUUCUUGACUGGCUUGUUCCCGCCUUUCUUCCUUCUCUAUACUCAGAUCAGAAACUUUUCUUUAAUUGCUCUUAUUCAGUGCGACAACUUUUAAUAAAAGCAUUUGCAUUUUA